rnacentral:rRNA from 1 species
CAGUCCCACGGGAAUACGGAGGGUGCAAGCGUUAUCCGGAUUUAUUGGGUUUAAAGGGUCCGUAGGCGGAUCUGUAAGUCAGUGGUGAAAUCUCACAGCUUAACUGUGAAACUGCCAUUGAUACUGCAGGUCUUGAGUAAAUUUGAAGUGGCUGGAAUAAGUAGUGUAGCGGUGAAAUGCAUAGAUAUUACUUAGAACACCAAUUGCGAAGGCAGGUCACUAAGAUUUAACUGACGCUGAUGGACGAAAGCGUGGGGAGCGAACAGGAUUAGAUACCCCCGUAGUCCCUGUCUCUUAUACA